rnacentral:rRNA from 1 species
AUUCCAGCUCCAAUAGCGUAUAUUAAAGUUGUUGUGGUUAAAAAGCUCGUAGUUGGAUCUCAACAGCCUUGAAGCGGUUAACUUUGUAGUUUUACUGCUUUAUAGGCUGUGCUUUUGCUGGAGGUUUAGGGGUGCUCUUGAUCGAGUGUCUCUGGAUGCCAGCAGGUUUACUUUGAAAAAAUUAGAGUGCUCAAAGCAGGCUAAAAUGCCUGAAUAUUCGUGCAUGGAAUAAUAGAAUAGGAUGUCGAUCCUAUUUUGUUGGUUUUCGGGACUCGACAUAAUGAUAAAUAGGGAUAGUUGGGGGCAUUAGUAUUUAAUUGUCAGAGGUGGAAUUCUCGGAUUUGUUAAAGACUAACUUAUGCGAAAGCAUUUGCCAAGGAUGUUUUCAUCG